GUGCUCACUUCGGCAACACAUAUACUAAAAAUGGAAUGAUACAUAAAAGAUUAGCAUGGCCCCUGCGCAAGGGUGACACACAAAUUCAUGAAGCAUUCUGUAUUUUU
ensembl:snRNA U6 U6 spliceosomal RNA